CCCACAGCAUCAGUGGUCUAGUGGUUAUGAUGCUAGUCUUCCAAGAUUAGGAAAUCUUCCUUCUCUAGUUAACUGGCGAGGGGGGUUCGAUUCCCUCCUGAUGCAUUC
rnacentral:tRNA from 1 species